GAUGAAGAACGUAGCGAAAUGCGAUAAGUAGUGUGAAUUGCAGAAUUCAGUGAAUCAUCGAAUCUUUGAACGCACAUUGCGCCCCUUGGUAUUCCAUGGGGCAUGCCUGUUCGAGCGUCAUUUGUACCCUCAAGCUAAGCUUGGUGUUGGGUGUUUGUCCACUCCCUCGUGUUUGGACUCGCAUUAAAACAAUUGGCAGCCAGUGUUUUGGUAUUGAAGCGCAGCACAAUUUGCGAUUCUAGCCUAGAAUACUAGCAUCCAUCAAGUCAUUUUUAACGCUUGACCUCGGAUCAGGUAGGGAUACCCGCUGAACUUAAGCAUAUCAAUAAGCGGAGGA
rnacentral:misc_RNA from 1 species